CUACUUCUGCAAGAAGACCUAGAUUAAGAGGGUUGGAAGCUGAAGAGACAAAUGCAGCUUCCAAAACAUGGAUGCAAUUCCCGUGCUGUCCAAAAUACUGUGAGUCAAUAGCCCUGGCAGGGCAGAGGUUGCUGCAUGUCACCAACAUGGCAGGUACAAAGCCUCUGACGCUCAGGUUGUGAUUCCUUUCUGUUACCCUGCCAGAUAUGAAGAAAGCACGUGGGGAUUGCAAACUCUUGCCUAGUUGACCAGACUAGAAGAGGAUGCUUUUGUUGUAUUGCUACAAUCUGCCCUCUGGAAUUGCAUACUCCUCAAAUUUGUGUGGCUCCCUCCCCAUGCUUUUCUGGUAGUCUGUAACCUGGCUGGUUGCACUCUGCAUGUGUAUUUUGUUUAGUUUUUUUGUCUAGACAUUCAUAGUUUCUUCUAUCUGCCAUUGUUUCAAUCGUUUUGUUUAUUUCUUUGUAAUGGAAGCUAUCCAGGGUCAUUCUGAACCCAAGUGGUGUUAAAUCUAACAUAAUAAAUUC